GUGUCAGCAGCCGCGGUAAGACGAACCGAGCGAACGUUAUUCGGAAUCACUGGGCUUAAAGGGCGCGUAGGCGGGCCGUCAAGUCAGGGGUGAAAGCCCCCAGCUCAACUGGGGAAGUGCCUCUGAUACUGGCGGCCUCGAGGGAGGUAGGGGCGUGCGGAACUUCCGGUGGAGCGGUGAAAUGCGUAGAUAUCGGAAGGAACACCGGUGGCGAAAGCGGCGCGCUGGACCUCUUCUGACGCUGAGGCGCGAAAGCCAGGGGAGCGAACGGGAUUAGAUACCCCGGUAGUCCUGGCCCUAAACGUUGGGCACUAGGUUGUGGGCUUACGUGGGCUCACAGCCGGAGCAAAAGUAUUAAGUGCCCCGCCUGGGGAGUAUGGUCGCAAGGCUGAA
rnacentral:rRNA from 1 species